UCACUGUUAUUCACGUUUACAGCAGAAGACUUACAGAAAUGGAAAGAAAUACAAAAAGAAUUUCGAAAAAGCCGAAAUAUAUAAAACUAAAAAGAAAACAGUAAGGAAAUAUAGAAAAGAAGAAGAGUCUUUGGGAGUCUGUUAGGAAUUCGAAUUGCAUUCAGCAAUUGGUUGCGUUGGUAAUCAGAUGCGAGGGAUGACGAGUGCAAAGAGAGAAAGACAUUUUAAUGCAUAGGCUGGUUACAGUUUACACAACAAGCUCUGAUAUUGCAGUAGCUGCAGCAGCUGACAUGUUAUGCAGCAUUAAAUCGGUCCUGAUUCUUGCAGCAACAACAAACGACAGCAUCAAAACAACAACAGCACCAAUAUAAAAAAAAAAAUGGAAUUAUCAUGAAAAACACCAAAUUUAAUGAGCAUAAAACUGCGCUAUGUGUAUUAUGCUUCCAAAGAAGAGAGCUUGCUGGGGAAAGAAAGCAACCGGUUUAAAAAGACAGCAACAGACUGCAGCAAUUCACCACAUUCCAGAAGCUACUUUGAACAUAAUGCAAAAUGGUGCAUCAACAUCUUCUGCCCAAUCUGUUAGACUUCUGGCAAAGAUGUGUAGCAACAGAUCGCCAGCAAUUGCUUCAUCAGAAAUUGCCAUCCUACCUCCUACGAAAAGGGAUAAAAUCCUUUUUUCUUUUUAAAAGCAUCUAUUACACUA